rnacentral:lncRNA from 1 species
CUUGCCAUUGUACAAACAUGGACUGAUACAUGAGGGAUUUGGAAGAAAGAUUACAGACAGUGGAAAUACAGAAACAGCUUAAGGGGCUAAGGCUCCAAUAACAAUGUGGCUUCUUCUACUGGAUGUACGGAGCUCUCAGGACGGCCCUGACUACUGGAUCUCCAGCAGGCACUCAGACCUCACACUGUCCCCUCCUCGUCUCCGUGGAUCUUGAGUUUUUAGAUUUGUGGCCUGACACUGUCUAGGGCCUCUGGGACACCUAUGGAGCACAGAGAAGCCAUGCCUAAGAAUGUUGAUGAGUCCUCAUCCAACACAGAACAGCUCAGGAGAUAACAAGAGGAUCAGGGAGGUUCUUUGGUUUUGUGUCUUUUACAUUUGAGACAAAAUGUUUACGAAAGAUAAAAAGAAGCGUUUUGUUUGG